ensembl:lncRNA
GCAGCGGAACCCCUGGGCCUUACCAGCUCUGUGACUUCGGAGAUACUUCACCACCACCGGGGCCUGUUUCUCCUCUGUCUGGCAGGGCUGAUGUCACUCACCUGGCGGGGGGAGGAGAAGAGCGGGGUGAUGAGAGGAACCGUGUGCCCGGAGUCUCUGGCUCACAUCCGGUUAAAAGAGCAAUAAAACACUACAUAAUUGGAAGACAAAGGCGACUGCCUGGCCAGCCCGCCCUAAGGAGCGGAGUGCCGGUAACUUGGGUGUGAUCCUACCUGUGAUUCAUGCAGAGAAAUUACAGCCUUCCGUGUACAGGAGUGGGCUCUGCAGAGUGGCUGAGGGUUCAGACCCCCACUUGUCUCGGACCCUUGUCCAGGAGAGCUGAAAGGCCACCAUCAUUCCUUCCUGGACACCUUGUUCCAGCUCACCAGGCCUGCCAGGGUUUCCAUGGGCCUGGCUGGCACGUCCCUGCCCCCAAUGCCAGAUCCUGGCAGUUUCAUGUGCACCAAGUCUCAGAGUGCUGAGCCACAGGGAUCCAGGUAUGUGUGGGGCUCUCAUCUUUUUGGAGAAGCCCCUUCCUUCAUCUUCCAGAGGAGGAGGUUGAGAUGAGGUGGGGAGUACGGGGACUAGAACCGGGGCCUCCUGCUUUUCAGGCCAGGCAACCUAUGGAGAGGUUUUGGCAGGGCCCCCGGUGGGACAUCCUCGGGUAACCCUGGUGCCCUGGGUCCUGGCAGAGUGUGACGGAGGGCUCAGAGCAGGGCUAGGGCUAGACCCACAGUAGGACCAGAGACCAGCUGGAGCUGGUUCUCAGCAGGUGCCAUAAGGCUGGGGCCAGAAAAAGGUGGCAAAGAGGGGACAGUGUCCUGCUCUUCCAGACCCAUCCUCCACUGUCUCCCUGUGUGGCCCAGCGUCUUCAUCUGAAAGAUGGGACAGUAACCUGGGCCUGGGCUUCUUCCUGCCUCAAAGGCUGAUGUGUUGAGUAGACUGUGGACAUGAGGGUGCUCCGGGAACCACAAAGCUGGCUCUGGUAUGUGGUGGGCCUGAAUCGCUAAAGGACCACAGUCUGCAGGUCCCUGAGGGGUCUCCAAGAGUCCCUAGAAGAAUGGCUCAGUGAGGAGGCUGGGGGCAGGAGUUGCUGAUUCCAUUUCACUCUCCAGGCAGAGCUGUAAGCAGAUGGACUGAGCUUGGAGGUGGUGACUUUCCCCUCACUGCUAGGAUAAAAGCAAGAGCCAGAGUUUCUCCUGGCUGGGAGGCUAUGAAAAGAUGCAAGCAUUUGAUGCCAUUCUGUCCUUUCCAGCCCAGCAAGUCUCUGGCAGCUGCUUUGAAUACUUAUUUCUUUUCUAACGCAACACUGUGUGUCAACUAUACUUUAAUAAAAAAUAAUAAAUUUUACA